rnacentral:rRNA from 1 species
AUGAGUGCGACAUCAUUUCAAGUGUAUGGUACAUUGUCAUUGUCCAUACCUACAUCAACUACGUCUUUGCGACAAGGUAACAGUAAAGGUAUUGAUGAUAUAACUUCACAUGAGAAUGAUGCAUGCCUAAUUAACUUAAAUACAUCAUGUGUUGAGUUACCUGUUGAUUUGAGCACGCCACCUAUUUUAGAGAAUCAUGUUACUGUCAUGAAUGCAUCAUGUGAUCAAACAACUGAAAUACCAACGAUUUUGAGUGCGCCCAUUGAAUUAACUGUUGAUGUCAAAGAACCAUGUGAAUCAGGAAAUAAAUCUGAUUUGGAUCAAAUACAUUUUAAAAUAAUUGUGCCAAUGUUUAAUCAUUUUGAUAUGACCUCUAUCUUGGUGAUCAUUCUGUGUUAA